GAAAGGAAAAAAAAAUGAGUGGUACAGUCACCUAUCCUCGUUUUUUUUCACCCACCCCUUCUCCCUUCCUCCCUCUUUCUUUUCCUCUCUUUCUUUCUUUCUACUUUCUCUUUCUCUUCG
rnacentral:ribozyme from 13 species